AAUAGAUACCCUGGUAGUCCACGCCGUAAACGAUGGAUGCUAGCUAUUGGGGGGAAUCGACCCCCUCCGAAGCGAAGCUAACGCGUUAAGCAUCCCGCCUGAGUAGUACGAGCGCAAGCUUAAAACUCAAAGGAAUUGACGGGGACCCGCACAAGCGGUGGAGCGUGUGGUUUAAUUCGAUGGUAAACGAAGAACCUCACCAAGGUUUGACAUCCCGGUAGCCGUUCUCCGAAAGGAGAAUUUCAUUUAGUUGGACCGGUGACAGGUGAUGCAUGGCCGUCGUCAGCUCGUGUCGUGAGAUGUUGGGUUAAGUCCCGCAACGAGCGCAACCCUUAUGAUUUAGUUGGAUUUUUCUAAACAGACUGCCCUGGUAACAGGGAGGAAGGAGGGGAUGAUGUCAGGUCAGUAUUUCCCUUACACCUUGGGCGACACACGCGCUACAAUGGCCGGUACAAUGGGCAGCUAAGCCGCGAGGUGGAGCAAAUCCCAUCAAAGCCGGUCCCAGUUCGGAUUGCAGGCUGAAACCCGCCUGCAUGAAGCCGGAAUCGCU
rnacentral:rRNA from 1 species